AUGGUGGAGGAGUUUCAGGCGGAGAGGGGGGAAAAGCAGAUUCUCCAAAAAGAACAGGAGAAAGUUGGAGCGUCUAACCAAGAGGACUGCCCAAGGUACGAAGUCAAUAUCCUCACAGUGAGGCAGAGGCCGGACCACCUACGGCGUGAGCUUGAGAAGCGGGAGAUCACCACAAAUGGUUCCCCUGAUCCCAAACCUAUGCAGAAUGAAGUGUCUGAGGAGAUUCCCACAAAGCAAAAGGAUUCAUCCUGGGAAAGAGUCAAACACUUUCAGGGAUUAAGGAGACCACAGAGAUGGGAGAAGUCAAAGGACCCUGCACCCAGCAGCACCUCAUACCAAGAGGACAGCCAAAGGUAUGAAGCUGAUAGGCUCACCAUGAAGCAGCGGGUUAACAACCUGCCUACGAUGACGUGCCAACAUGGUGGGAUACCGACCUCCCCGGCAACUGAAGGGCGACUGACCAGUAACGUGCAAGAUGUGCCUGAUGGGCACUCCUUUUUAGGCAACUGUCCACGCCUGGAAAUGGUGGUAAGUGGGGUUAAAAUCCCAUUUAUACUGGAUACAGGUGCCAAAGUAACUCUUCUUAGCCACUCCCUUUUCCGUAAAAGCUUUAAGGAUAUUCAAAUGAGAGACAGAACUGAAAUACCCUGGCUCAAAAUUAAAGCAGCCAAUGGGCUCACAGUCCCAUACCAAGGGUAUGUGGUGCUAGAUUUUCAGGCUGGGGACAUUGAAAUUAUGGGGAAAGGAGUGUUGAUAGUUAAGAAUGACUGCUUUGGCACCCGUUAUGGUUUGCUAGGGAUGAAUGUCAUAUUAGAAAUCUGGAAAUCUGUUUCUAGUGUUGACAACCUUGAGUGUGAGCUUGACAAUCUGCAGUCCCUUACGAAUGCCCUCCCUGAUCCCAAACCCAUGGAGACUGAGGAACCUGAGGAGAUCCACACACAUGCCUCCCCUGAUCCCAAACCCAUGCAGAAGGAGGUCCCUGAGGAGAUCCCCACAAAGCAAAAGGAUUUAACCUGGAAGAGGAUCCGACACUUUCUGGGACUGAGGAAACCACAGAGAUGGAAGAAGCCAAAGUGUUCAACGGCCCCAGCCACUGCAGGAAGACUGACCGCUGAUGUAAAGAAUGUCCCUAGUAAGCCCUCUUUUGUAGGUCCCUAUACAAUGGUGGAAAUGGUGGUAAAUGGGGUUAAAAUCCCGUUUAUGCUGGAUACAGGUUCUCCAGUAACUCUUCUUAAUCACUCCCUUUUCCGAAAAAGCUUUAAGGAUAUUCAAAUGAGAGACAAAACUGAAAUACCCUUUCGUAAAGUUAAAGCAGCCAAUGGGCUCAAAACCCCAACUCAAGGGUAUGUAGUGCUAGAUUUUCAAAAUGGAGACUUUGAAUUCAUGGGGAGGGCAGUGUUGAUAGUUGAGGACGAGGACUGUUGUAGCACCCAAUAUGGUGUGCUAGGGAUGAACGUCGUAGCGGAAAUCUUCAAGCCUGUUUCGACUCUUGGGAAACUUUUGCGUGAUCUUGACAAGCUGCAGUCCCCCACGAAUGUUCCCCCGGCUCCAAAACCCAUGGUGACCGAGGUGCAGGAGGAGAUUCCACAAAAAGCAACAGACUUUAACCUGGAACAGAAUCCGACUCUUUCAGGGUCUUUGACACAACAGCUGACACUGUUACAACAUUUCCCUUUCUGUCACUAA
ensembl:lncRNA